AGCAGUAGCCGCGGUAACACGUAGGGUGCGAGCGUUAAUCGGAAUUACUGGGCGUAAAGCGUGCGCAGGCGGUUUUGUAAGACAGGCGUGAAAUCCCCGGGCUCAACCUGGGAAUGGCGCUUGUGACUGCAAAGCUAGAGUGCGGCAGAGGGGGAUGGAAUUCCGCGUGUAGCAGUGAAAUGCGUAGAUAUGCGGAGGAACACCGAUGGCGAAGGCAAUCCCCUGGGCCUGCACUGACGCUCAUGCACGAAAGCGUGGGGAGCAAACAGGAUUAGAUACCCCGGUAGUCCCUGUCUCUUAUAC
rnacentral:rRNA from 1 species